GACGAAGGUGGCAAGCGUUGUUCGGAAUCACUGGGCUUAAAGCGCACGCAGGCGGCUGAUCAAGUGCCUUGUGAAAUCCCUCGGCCCAACCGAGGAAUUGCUUGGUAGACUGAUCGGCUUGAGGCAGGUAAGGGCGAGUGGAACUCUUGGUGGAGCGGUGAAAUGCGUAGAUAUCAAGAGGAACGCCGGUGGUGAAGACGACUCGCUGGGCCUGUCCUGACGCUGAGGUGCGAAAGCCAGGGGAGCAAACGGG
rnacentral:rRNA from 1 species